UACGUAGGUGGCAAGCGUUGUCCGGAUUUACUGGGCGUAAAGAGCGCGCAGGCGGUCGUUCAAGUCGCGUGUGAAAGCCCCCGGCUCAACUGGGGAGGGUCACGCGAUACUGAUCGACUCGAAGGCAGGAGAGGGAAAGUGGAAUUCCCGGUGUAGUGGUGAAAUGCGUAGAUAUCGGGAGGAACACCAGUGGCGAAGGCGACUUCCUGGCCUGUUCUUGACGCUGAGGCGCGAAAGCUAGGGGAGCAAACGGG
rnacentral:rRNA from 1 species